UACGUAGGGGGCAAGCGUUGUCCGGAUUUAUUGGGCGGAAAGAGCGUGUAGGCGGCCAGGUAGGUCAGCUGUGAAAACUCGAGGCUCAACCUCGAGACGCCGGUUGAAACCAUCUGGCUAGAGUCCGGAAGAGGAGAGUGGAAUUCCCGGUGUAGCGGUGAAAUGCGCAGAUAUCGGGAAGAACACCCGUGGCGAAGGCGGUUCUCUGGGACGGUACUGACGCUGAGACGCGAAAGCGUGGGGAGCGAACAGG
rnacentral:rRNA from 1 species